UACGUAGGGUGCAAGCGUUGUCCGGAAUUAUUGGGCGUAAAGAGCUCGUAGGCGGUUUGUCGCGCCGGAUGUGAAACCCCGGGGCUUAACCCCGGGCCUGCAUUCGAUACGGGCUGACUAGAGUUCGGCAGGGGAGACUGGAAUUCCUGGUGUAGCGGUGAAAUGCGCAGAUAUCAGGAGGAACACCGGUGGCGAAGGCGGGUCUCUGGGCCGAUACUGACGCUGAGAAGCGAAAGCAUGGGGAGCGAACAGG
rnacentral:rRNA from 1 species